UAAGGCCGCCGUGGUGCAGCGGAGGAAGGGUUGGGUUGGCCGAUGUGGGGAGCGCUGGGGAGGUUCUUCGUGGUGCAGGCCCCGGCCCGGCGGAUCGUUCUUCACACCGUGCCCGCGGCUGCAGGAGUCUUCACCAUAGCCCGUGUUACCAUGGCCACCCACUUCUCCAAGGAUCAGGAGGAGAGAAUCAAAUGUGUUAAGGGGGACCUUUUCUCAUGCCCGCAGACGGACUCAUUGGCUCAUUGCAUCAGCGAGGACUGUCGCAUGGGUGCAGGCAUAGCCGUUCUUUUUAAGAAAAAGUUUGGAGGCGUACAAGAGCUGUUGGAUCAACAAAAGAAGACUGGGGAGGUGGCAGUUCUCCAAAGAGAGGAUCGAUACAUUUACUACCUGAUUACGAAGAAGAAAGUUUCUCACAAACCAACAUAUGAGAACAUGCGAAAGAGUUUAGAAGCCAUGAAAGCUCACUGUCUAAACAAUGGAGUUACUGACAUUUCUAUGCCUAGGAUUGGAUGUGGACUUGACCGCCUGGAUUGGAAUAAAGUUUCAGCAAUACUUGGGGAAGUGUUUGAAGACACAGAUAUAAAGAUCACAGUUUACACUCUGUGAGCAAAAGAGUUUAAAGAGAACCCCAUUUCCCUUGCUUUCAGGAGUGGAAACCUGUUAAUUGAUAGAGAAACUUUCAGACAAGAGCCAUUGAUCACACCAAGAAAUCAAUAUUCAGUGCUCAUCAAGGGCCAAUACCUUCCAUCCUGAUAUCAUCAGAGGAUGCAGAUGUUGAACGAGUGAUUGCACUGGAGCCAAAGAAUCAGACAGCUAAGAGCCUGUGCUGGAGGUGUGAUGAGAAGUGCAGUGUGCGUGGUUAAGCAGUAAUUACUGGGACUGGUGUCGGUAGUAUGCCAAGGACGGAGUACUGGAGACAUUCUGGUAAGGGAUGGAUCCAGACAAGGGCUGCGUGGCCACGCGCUUCUUCCAGCCGUCGUGUGACCAGGAGAACAAGCCCCGUCAGGCAGCGCUAAUGGGAAACCAGGGCCCCUCUGGAUCCACAAAGGCAGAGGCUGAUUUUGGUCUGCACUGCACAGGUUGUCCUUCCAGAUGUGGAUUGUGAGACAAGUCGCCAUGGCCAGCCAGCCCAGGUAAGGCACCAUCAGCAGCGUUGCUAUCUUGUUAAUGCGGUACCAGGAGCACAUCGUGCCUAUCGCCAGGACGUCCAAGCACAGGAUGUCAAUCAGUGCCUGGAGCAGAGAGAACACACUGACUGUGGUGCUCACCCUUGGAACACGCAGCAGUCUUCCCCUUCUUCUUUCUCUAAACCAUCCUACUAAAGGUGGUGAGGUGGAAUAGGAAUAAGGGGAGGUCUAGUGCUGAAAAGUCACCUAGAGUGAUCCUAAACCCCAGGACCUUGGCUCUGAACUCUAAUCAGUGAGAUCUGAAUGUGUCACACCAGGAGCCAAGGCUAAUGUUAAUUUUUUUUGUUCAUUAUCGAGUUCCGCAGAUUAACACACUGUUAGUGAUGAUCAGUGUCCCCUUCUGCUAAUGCCUAUGCAGACAGAUCAGAAACAUGCUUAUGUUAAUACUGAUGGCUAAUAUCACUUAACAAACUUUCUAAAUGUACCUUUCAUCCACAAAGUGACAAAAUUCAGGUGGAAACAUAAAUCCCACUCUCUGCUUCGGUCACCUCUAGGCCUUGGCACCUGAAGUAAGUCCUUUUUGAAUAUAGCACAGGCUCAGCUGUGCCGUGCCUUACCUUCGUGCACAUCCUCCUAACAGACUCUGCAAUGCACAGUGCAUUGUAUUUGCUCGAUAAGCCACCCGCAGCUAAUAUGCAACCCUGGGGAUGCUAACUUUGCUGCUUGCCGGCGCAGGGUGUGACUCCCAGAAGGACUUAUCUCUAACCCCGAACCCUUAACUGGGAGAUGCAGCAGGGCUAUUGCCUCCCUGAUCUCCCGCCCUGCUCUGGUCAGGCCGGCUAUCUGCGCGGAUAUCAAGAGCAGGAUGAGGAGUGGAAGGUACUGAUAUCAUUGUCUAGAACCAGGUGCAGCAUGAGUUGUAUCAGAGCAAAAGCUCUUCUUGCAGCUCUCUUUACAGUUGCAUAAUGCUAGUUAGAAAACCUCCAAAUAACCCCCAAACCCGUGGCAGGAACACCAGCAAACAAGCCUCCAGCAGAUGGAUGGAUGGGCAGAUACGUUACCAUCUUCA